rnacentral:rRNA from 1 species
GAUGAACGCUGGCGGCGUGCUUAACACAUGCAAGUCGAACGAAGCACUUUAUUUGAUUUCCUUCGGGACUGAUUAUUUUGUGACUGAGUGGCGGACGGGUGAGUAACGCGUGGGUAACCUGCCUUGUACAGGGGGAUAACAGUUGGAAACGGCUGCUAAUACCGCAUAAGCGCACAGCAUCGCAUGAUGCAGUGUGAAAAACUCCGGUGGUAUAAGAUGGACCCGCGUUGGAUUAGCUAGUUGGUGAGGUAACGGCCUACCAAGGCGACGAUCCAUAGCCGACCUGAGAGGGUGACCGGCCACAUUGGGACUGAGACACGGCCCAAACUCCUACGGGAGGCAGCAGUGGGGAAUAUUGCACAAUGGGCGAAAGCCUGAUGCAGCGACGCCGCGUGAGCGAAGAAGUAUUUCGGUAUGUAAAGCUCUAUCAGCAGGGAAGAUAAUGACGGUACCUGACUAAGAAGCACCGGCUAAAUACGUG